AGUAGAGAGCUUUUUAGGCAAGGGAGGCCACUGCACAUUUAUAGGCAGAGAAGGUGGCAGGACAGAGAAUUUAAGAGAAUGAGGUCUCAGAGGAGGCAUAGGAUGAUGGGAUAUGAAAUAGCAAAGGCACACCCAAGGUGAUCCUGAAGCUCAGAAAUAUUAAGUCAUGCAGGAGGGGGCACCAUUGGAAAUAUAAUCCCCUAAAGUUAUGAGUAAACAAAUGAUGGUGGGGUGUGGAGGGUAGAAAGAAGGCCUAAGCUUGAUGUGGGGGCCACAGCCUGGGCAAGAGAAAUUUCCAGCAAAGCCUCUGACAAAUUUCUGACAAAGCCUCUCAUGUUAUCUAGUUGUGGCAGAAGCAUCUGAACCAAAUGGCUAGGAAGCUUGGUGAACAGUCAGACCCAGUGAGGGUUGAUUAAUGGAUCCAUGUCAGCCUAGACUAGAGGGAAGUCUCCAGCAGUAUGCCUUAGGGCUCAGUCUGGGCCUGUGUCCUCUCUGACAUUUUUAUUGACAACUGACCGAAGCAGCAGGCUCAUCAAGUUUGCAGGUGAUAGAGCUAGGAGGGGCAGUUAAUACUUUGCAUGAAAGAGUCAGGAUUCAAAACGAUUUCAACAGGCUGGAACACUGGGCUGGAACCAACAAGAUUAAACUUAACAGGGAUAAAUGUAGAGUCCUGCACUUAGGUUAAAACAAAAUCAAUGACAUAAGUACCGGUUGUAGGGGUUGGCCCAGCUUGACAGCAGUUCAUGAAGAAAAGACCUGGGGGGUUUAGUUGACUGCAAGCUCAAUAUGAGUCAACUGUGUGAUGUGACUGCUAAAAUCCUAACACAGCCAUGAAUUGCAUUAACCAAACGGAGCAGCCAGAUCAAGGGAGGUGUUACCCCACUGCUUUCUGAGAUGGUCAGGCCACCUCUGAGCACUGGGUCCAAUUCUGAGGUCUUUUCCCCUGCUAAGGUCAGUGACAAAUGAGAAUAUUUUUGAUAGGAAGCCACCAUGGCAGUGGGCCUGAAUACUGUCCGAGACUUGCCAGUGAUUCUAUGGUGCUGAAAUUUCUGGAAUGAAGGACAGGAGUCUAGAAUCUGAACCCAGGCAAAGACUUUUAUCUGGAGCAUAUUUCUAGGAUUUAGGGGAAAAUUUGGGGUCUGCAUUUCCUCACUUCCUAUGGCUGCCCAGAGGCAUUGGCCUGUGACUCUCAUCCCUGGCCUUCCUGAGGUCAGGGGAUUAGCGAUUAGUUAGACGGGGUCUAGGGUAGAGGUCAGCCUGAGGGGGCGGCUAUAAAACGAGUCAUUGAGGUGGGAGGGAACCUGGAAAUUGGGACCUCACGCACCAUAUUUCCCGCGCUCUCCCCUGGGACGUGCCGUCCCUGCUGCAGUCGCAGCGUGGCGCCCUCGCUCCACGCAGGGAUCCUGAGCCAAUGGCGGAAGCGGAGUGCGCGGCGAGGUCGCAGUUGCGUUUCUCGCACUCCCCACUGCGGGGAGCCCGUGGGCCCCGCACUGCAGGGAAGCUGCCGGCCCAGGUCUCCUGGGUGGCAAGAAGACGCCUGUGGUGUGGAAGAACCUCGCCCGCAGCCCAGCACGUGUAGAAUCCAGAUGUGGCUUCUGCUGGAGCCACGUGUUCCGGCCUG
rnacentral:lncRNA from 10 species